rnacentral:sRNA from 1 species
GCCGGGUGCGGUGGCGCAUGCCUGUAAUCUCAGAGGCUUGGGAGGCUGAGACAGGAGAAAUGCAAGUUCAAAGCCAGCCUCAGUAACUUCGAGGUGCUAAGCAACUCAGUGAGACCCUGUCUCUA